UCUCUCUCCGACAUCCUACCUCAGGGUCUUCACAGCAACCCUGUGAGAGAGGAAGCACCACAAAUAAUAAAUUACUUUUUCUGCAGAAGGGGAAACGGAACCGUGAGACAGGGAGUCCUUGCCUGAGGUUGCCUGGGAAGUAGAGAUCACAUUGAUUUACAGGUCGGAGGUCUCCUAACUGGGUUCUACUCUUCUCACCUGCGCCCGCCUCAUCUAGGCCUGUUCACGUCUCAACAGCCACGCCCCAGACAUCAGUCUAGGUCCUAAAGCGUCUUAGUGCACAAGCCACAUAUCCCCUGGUCUCAGACGGGCAAACGAGCGCAAAGAGUGACAACGAUGUGGCAAAGAUGGAGUUGAAAGAAGGAGAACUAGUGGAAAGUAUGUACCAGGAAUAGAUAGAUCCUGAGAUCCUGAGUCUUCCUUACUGACAUGCGGACACAUGGUGGCUGUCAGCUAGGCCCUCUGUGGGAACUAUCAGCUGGAACACAUUUACAUAGCCUCUCCCUGUGGCCUGAGCUUCCUCACAGCACAGCAGCUGGGUUUCGAACUUGAGUAUCCCAAGAAAUAGACUGAUAGAAGCUGCCUGGCCUCUUCUCAUUUAACCUUGGAAGUUACAGAGUGUAACCACAGCUCAGACAAGAAUCAAGACACAUACACAUCGGGCUUCCCUGGUGGCACAGUGGUUGAGAAUCUGUCUGCCAAUGCAGAGGACAUGGGUUCGAGCCCUGGUCUGGGAAAAUCCCACAUGCUGCAGAGCAGCUAAGCCCGUGAGCCGCAACUACUCAGCCUGCACUCUAGAGCCCACAAGCCACAACUACCAAAGUCCACGCACCUAGAGUCCAUGCUCUGCAACAAGAGAAGCCACCGCAAUGAGUAGCCCAUGCACUGCAACGAAGAGUAGCCCCCACUCGCCGCAACUAGAGAAAGCCUGCGCGCAGCAUGAAGACCCAAUGCAGCCAAAAAUGAACAAAUAAAUAAAAGACACAUACAUAUCAUUAUCAUAUUUUUCAAUGGGUUCCUAAAGCUUCUUAUACAUAGGAAAUUUUAUUUUUACUUCCCAGGUUUAUCUGCUUAGUAGCUAA